GGAGAUGUACCCAAGUGGCUAUAAGGGGCGCCCCUGCUAAGGGUGUAGGCCGGGAAACUGGUGCGAGGGUUCGAAUCCCUCCAUCUCCG
rnacentral:tRNA from 2 species